rnacentral:lncRNA from 1 species
AUCCACUUUUCAUCACAACCAGCUGUUCUUCUGCACGCUGUGACCACAAGAAUCAAGUGUGGACUAAGCUUUGAGGUGCAUUGAAAGGAAGAAAGUACAUCUUCACUGCAGGACAUGGACUAUAAGCUGGGAGGCAUCACUUUUCUUACAUCCAGUAUACCAAUAGAAGAACAUCUCACCUGGUGCCAAAGAUAACGGAGCACUUGGAAGAGCUGACGGCUUUGACAGUGUAUUUACAAGAGAGCUGAUCUGGCAACUGAUGGUUGGGUUCAGUUCAGCAAAUCCAUUAUUAAAAUGUUAUUAGCCAAUGAUGAAUAAAUAGGUUUGGAGCUUCCCUCUCCCUCUAUCU